rnacentral:rRNA from 1 species
UACAGGGGGCGCGAGCGUUGCUCGGAAUCACUGGGCGUAAAGCGAACGCAGGCGGACUGUUAAGUCGAAUGUGAAAGCCCGGGGCUCAACCCCGGAAGUGCAUUCGAAACUGGCAGUCUUGAGUACGGGAGAGGUGGGUGGAAUUCCUGGUGUAGAGGUGAAAUUCGUAGAUAUCAGGAGGAACACCGGUGGCGAAGGCGGCUUCCUGGAUAGAAACUGACGCUGAGGCGCGAAAGCUAGGGGAGCAAACAGG